GUAGAAGAAGAAGUUCACUUCACGCACUGGUUCGGGGCAGUUGUUGAACGCGAGGCAGACGGAGUUGUGCGGGAAGCAGUCGCCAAUUUAGUGGUUGUUCAGUCUCAAAUACCCAACAGGUGAGGGGAAUCCAUUUAAAAGAACACCCAGUGUGAGUGUGUGCGGACUUUAACAAACAGGUAGGCUCUUUCGUAGCCGAGAAUUCAAGUGUUUUGAGGAAGGCUGCUAGGCCUCAAAGGCUAAUCGCCAUGAGUUACGGUAGGCCUCCGCCAGACGUCGACGGCAUGACUUCCCUAAAAGUGGACAACUUAACGUACCGAACAUCUCCAGAAACCCUCCGACGGGUGUUCGAGAAGUACGGCCGCGUAGGGGACGUCUACAUCCCCCGAGACCGAUACACGAAAGAAAGCCGCGGUUUCGCAUUUGUGCGUUUCCACGACAAACGUGACGCCGAAGACGCAAUGGACGCCAUGGACGGCGCGCUCCUUGAUGGACGGGAGCUGCGAGUCCAGAUGGCCCGGUACGGAAGACCACCCGACUCUCAUUAUGGUGGUAGUGGAGGAGGAGGUGGAGGAGGAGGAGGAGGAGGCGGCGGGGGUGGUGGUGGUGGCCGCGACCGAGAUCGAGAUCGCGAUCGCGACGGUGGUGGUGGUGGCGGAGGCAGCCGACGAGGAGGAGGUGGUCCAACCAGGCGAUACGGUGGACGACGAAGCAGAAGCUCCUCUCCCAGCCCGAGAGACAAGAGACGCAGCCGGUCCCGCAGCAGGAGCCGCUCUCGCUCCCGAAGCCGAUCCCGCUACAGCAGAUCCAGGUCCCGCUCCUACUCCCGAUCAAAGUCUCACUCUCCCAGGAACAAGAAGGUCAAGGCCCCCUCUCGUUCUAGAUCUAGGUCCCGAUCCAAGUCUAAGUCAAAGUCCAAAUCAAAGUCCAAGUCCAAGUCCAAAUCAAAGUCCAAGUCCAGGUCCAGAAGCCGCACCCCCUCCAGAGGGUCCAGGUCGAGAUCUAAAAGCCAGCCCAAGACCGCAGCAGAGAAUGGAGGGGAAACCCCAUAAAGCUCAACAUCAGCUGCGGCAUCCUGUUUGCUAAAGUGGAGUUUUUGCUGAGCUGAGGCAGUAUGAGCAGUUAGCAGCUAUGUGGUGAGCUGCUGCCCGCAGGCCUCUGCUGCUGCAGCUGCUGCUGGUGGGGGUUUCUGUGCAGCAGGGUGUUGGAGGCAGGCAGAGUUGGGGUUUGGUGUAAAGUUUUCAGGGGACGACUGACAGCUUCACGUCGCAGACUGGAUCCAACCCAAGCAACAGUGUGCCGCUGUAAAAGGUUAUUAUUGUGUCUUCCAUGCUUUGUUUCUUUUAUUCAUUUGGCCACAAAAAUGGCUCUGUCACUUCAUCAAUGUGCUGUGAUUGUUUUUAUUUUUCAUAAUGAUUUUUUAAAAUCUGUUUCACUGUGGAGAGGAAACACUGUUCUGACCUGGUUUUGUAAAGAUGACCCAGGAUAAAAACAAGUCAUGUUUGUACCUCUUCUGUGCGCUCUUCUCCCCACGGGCCUGUGUCAGGAAGAGAUAGAACGUAGUCUGGGUUUCUUUCAAUUGUCUGGCUUUGUUUAAUCUUACUUGCAGCAGAGAUAUUUAGUCACCAACUUUCUCAACACAGCUUAUGAAUAUAAAAGAAACAAACCUUACAAUAACAAUUCAAUCACAUGCAACAGCCACGGGUCAAAUGUUGGUCAUGUAACUAUACUUGUGAGUUAUUCUCUUGGCAAAAAGCUGUUUCUAUUUGACAUAAUUAAAAGGGAAAUAUUUCUAGAGCUGCAACUGACAAUAGUUGUUUUCCAUUUAUCAAUCAAUAUGUUGACUAUUUUCUCAAUUUAUUCAACCUUUUGCUAACUCAAGCGAUUAAAUACCGUCUUUGUGUAUUUGUCCCAUUUCAAAAUGCGGAAAUUUCUCUAAUUUGUUUGUUGUAUUCAUCCCUAAAGUCAGCCAACACGGUAAUUCCGUACACAGGCCCGUGGUGUCCACACACAUCUAAAGAAGCAUUUCAAAAAAAAAAAAAAAUGUUAAAGAUAAAUCGACAACAACAAAAUCAAACUGCUUUAUAUCACUUUAAUUUCAGUGCAAACAAUUCAUUAAACUGAAGUAACCCCUCAAAAAAACCACCUAAUUUACAAUCUUUUAUUUCAGCAGCUCAGGGCGUAUUUGUUAGACAGGACAGCAGACCAUUUUAACUCCUGUGAUAAAUGUGUUAAAUGUAAUUGCAUAAACAGUGAAAAGUGACCGGGGUUGAUGCAUCAGUUUGAAGAUUGUUUCACAGAUUUUAAGGACCUUCAAUAUUUUGUUGCCAGGGCAUAAUUUACUGGACUCUAGACAAAGUGUCUUUGUGGGGUAUUUUUAUUUUAUUUUUUUAUGCUAAUCCUGCUUGUAUGUUUUGUUUUGUGCACUAGGCGCAGUUGUGUAGCCGUUGAGUAUUGCUGGUUAGCUGUUAAGGUGGCGUGUUGCUCUGAAGAGUGCUCCUGUGACUACCAGUGGUGCAGUGCUACAUUCUCACCCUUUGUAAGAUGACAUGCUUUUUUUCCUUUUUUCUCUGUAUGGUCAUGGAUGAUAAAUGUGACUUUCAUUAAAGAUUUGGUGUUUUGUCUAAAA